AGACACAUAUUUAUUCUUCUUUCGUUCCGCCCCUUGAUAAACCCUUCGCCCUUUCGGUUUGAUCCAAUUUUCGUCUUGCAAGGAAUUGCAACAACACUAUAUAUUAUCUGAUUUUUUCAAAUUUCAGUAUGCAAUCGAAAAUGAUCAGAAGAUCACUUUGUAUUUCAUGCCCCAACAAUUGUAUUCCUUUUCACAUCGACAGGAAGCUCUUCUGUUUGUCCCCAUCCAUCUCUUCGCACUCUGAUAUAGAAGUCCAACUGAGAUUUCUUUGUCAGGCACCCAAUUCUCAGUUCACUGAAGCAGUUUCUUUCUUUCACCGAGCUAUCGAUUCCAGCCGCUUGCCUUCUCAGUCAGCCUGUAAUUAUCUUGUGGAGUCCCUGGUAAAGUCUAAAAAAUACGAAUUGGCCUUUUCUGCUUAUAAUAAGAUGACCAAUGCGGGUAUUUUGCCUAGUUUUGUAUCUUUGAGUCGUUUAAUUGAUUGUUUUGUGCAUACCCAUGAGCUCAAGUUUGCUUUUGGAGUAUUGAGUUUGAUACUAAAGCGUGGUUUUGUUGUUAGCUCCUAUGUUAUGAAUCUGAUGUUAAAGGGUUUGUGUAGAAAUGGUGAAGUUUUUAAGGCUUUGGAUUUAUUUAGCGAGAUGAAAAGGAGUUAUGUUUUGCCGGACAAUGUUAGUUAUAGUACGAUUAUAAAGGGACUUUGCACAGAGAAACGUUUAGAAAAUGCGUUAGACUUGUUAGUUGAGAUGGAGGGAACAAAUUUUGAACCGGAUGUAGUUACAUACUGUAAUUUGAUGGAUGGUCUCUGCAAGGAUGGUAGAGUAGAAGAGGCCAAGGGUUUGCUGGAGAAUAUGAAAAGAAAGGGAUUGGAGGCGAAUGUUAUUGUCUAUGGGGUACUUGUUGGCGGCUAUUGUAAGAUUGGGCAGUGGAAGGAAGCCACUGGUAUGUUAAAUACCAUGAUGGCAAGUGGGAUUCGCCCUGAUGUUCAUAUUUAUACUUGUUUGAUUUCUGGACUUUGCAAAAAUGGAAAGACAACUAAGGCUGUCGAUUUGUUUAAAUUGAUGCUGGGAAGGGGUGAAGAGCCUAGUGUUGUAACAUAUAAUGUUCUAAUAAGUGGACUAUGCAAGGAGGGCCUUGUUGGUGAUGCUUGUAAAAUCUUUGAAAUGAUGUUGGAGAAGGGGAAGAAACCGGAUGUGGUUUCUUGUAAUACCUUGCUGAUGGGACUUUGCAAUAAUGGUAAGGUUGAUGAGGCAAUGAAACUUUUUAGUGCAGUCUUGAAGGAUGUAAAAUAUAUUGAGCCAGAUGUGAUUACAUUUAACUGUCUAAUUCAAGGGCUUUGCAAGGAAGAUCAGCUUGAUGAGGCUGCUGAGAUUUAUAAUAUGAUGAUUGAGAGGGGGAUCUCUGGUAAUUUGAUAACUUAUAAUAUUUUGAUUGGGGAAUAUAUAAAGGCUGGAAAAAUUGGCGAGGCUAUGCAACUAUGGAAACGCAUACAUGAGUUGGGAUUUGUUCCAAACUCGUUUACCUACAGCAUCCUGAUUUCUGGAUUUUGUAAAAUGGGCAUGCUUAAUGUUGCAAAAGGACUUUUUACUAGAAUGAGAGCCUCUGGGAGUAGCCCUACAUUGUUUGAUUACAAUAUGUUGAUUACAUACUUGUGCAAGGAGAGCAGCUUGGAGCAAGCAAGGAAGUUGUUUCAAGAAAUGAGGAACUCAAACUAUGAAUUGGAUAUCAUCGCUUUUAAUACACUGAUUGAUGGGACUCUGAAAGCAGGGAAUAUUCAAUCUGCGGAAGAGUUACUGAAGGACAUGUUUCAAAUGGGUUUGACUCCUGAUGCGUUUACCUACUCCAUAAUAAUAAAUAGGUUCUCAAAACUUGGACAACUAGAACAGGCUAAACUAGCUUUUGAUAGAAUGAUUUCAUCUGGCUUUAAGCCAAGUAUCCAUGUGUAUGAUUCAUUACUUAAAGGUUUUAGCUCACAAGAUGAAGCAGAAGAGAUUAUAAAUUUGCUUCGACAAAUGGCAGAUGAGAAAAUUGUUCUUGACCCAAAAAUGAUAAAUACCAUCUUGAAUUGUCUCUGUCAUAGUUCACUGGGUGCUGAUGUAGUGAAGCUCUUGCCAACAUUCGCCCCAGAAAUAUCAGAAGGGACAAGCAUCUCGUGCAAUGAGUUGCUGAUGAAAAUACAAGAGUCUAUCCCCCAUGAUCCUCUCUAAGAUUUGUGUCUCAUUAAGUGUUGGCCUUGAUUUUUUGCCUAAUCCAGGGAGGGGAAGGGAGAAGAAUUGAACUUGUGAUGAAUUAUGUUAUGCAGCAGGUAAUAAACAUUUUCAAGUGGAAUUUUAUGGUAUGAUUGGACAAAAGUAGCAGGCUUCUCAAAUCAUGUCUUUUUUCAGUGUUGAUUGGUGAAAGGUGACUGGAUUUUGGAUUGGUACCAGUGGGUAUUGAUGAGAUUGGAUUCUGACCAUCUUAAUGUUGGGUCAGUGGAACAAUAUCUGGGCUCUCUGUGGGAUGAUAGCAUCAAGUUGUGUUUUAAAGAAAGGAAAAUAAUCCCCAUCUUCUGAUAAGUCGAGCUUAGAUGCAUCUUGAAUGAACAGAAAAAUAGUGGCAGCUCAAUUAGGAAUGCUUGGAGUUGGGAAAGGAAAUUCAAGAUCUAUGUUAUAAGUGGCUGUGCGGAUGGAGAGGAAGUUCUGGAUUGGUUUGAAUAGAUUCAAACAUCCACAUGCAAUGGGCAAUGGCGCCUGCUAAAGCCUAUCCUUACAAAGGCACAUUUUGUGAGGCUCUUGUUGUUGUGGCAUAGCACAACGUAGCAGCUAGUAUGGAGAUUUUGGAUAUCAUUCUGGAAAUGGAUUUGGAAAACCUCCAUCUGAAGCAUUCUUAUUUUUGGUUAGAUCUCCUAGAAAUUCAGGCAACAUAUCCUCUGUAUUUUUUUUUUCCAAUGCAUUUGACAGGAAGCUAAGCUGGUUGAACAUCAGCUAGUCAUUGUAAAUGUAUGGAUGGUGAAUGUAUUUAGGGAGGGAAUGGGUCCUCCACUAAACUAGAUGAGAUCAGUCCUUUUCUAUCGAUUCAGUUGAAUGGAACAUUCAGAUUUUUUCAUGUUAAUCCGC
rnacentral:misc_RNA from 1 species